AUGAGUAUAUAUAUUUCUGCUGGAGUUUUUUUGAAGGGUACUUGAGACUACAACAUGAAUAUGGGAACUGAAUUGGAUGCAAAACUUGGCAGCUGGGUUUAGGGUGGGUUAUUAGAAUUUUUUGUAAGCUUCCUUGAAGAUACUCUCUUGGCUUUGCAAAAUUGGUACUCUUUUUCCUUGCUAGGUUUUCCCAAGGGGGUUUUAUCCUAGCAAGGUUUUAAUGAGGCUUUUUUUGUGAAGUCUAUUUUCUUGGAAGUAUUAGGUGGGGUAGUUUUGUUGUUGUAGGAUCUUUGUCUGUAUUUGUUAGUUCUUUACUUGUCUCUUCUCUCCUUUGUAUUGGGUUGAAGUACCCCUUGUACUUCUAUUCAAUAUAAUUCUUAUUGCCUAUAAAAAAAAAACGCAUGAAUGGAGGUUGAAGAUGAGCAGUUUAUUUUCCGAAAACAAAGGUGAUGUUCAUUUUGUGAGAUUCCGCUCAUAUUUUCUUGAAGAAAGUAGAUCAAGGC
rnacentral:lncRNA from 1 species